CUGGUCAGGACGUGACAAUAUCAUAAGGUGAAUGCACCAAUUUGUACGUCGCUCUGGACAGGAGCGUCUGCUAAAUGACGUAAAUGUAAAUGGAGUAGGGUCAAACUGUAGAACCCAGUUGCUACAUUUUAAUGUAUAAAUGGAUUUUACCAAAUAAAACUACGCUACAUUUUAUCUCUGGGACCCUAAGGAUGACAAAUCUGAGCAAGAUUACUGAAUGUACGUACAUUAUUUACCUUCAGAGGUGAAUGUAUCAAACCAGUUGUCAUGCUAAAAGUGUUUUGUUGUUGUGCACUAUCCUCAAACAAUAGCAUGGUACUUUGUUGCUGUAAUAGCUACUGUAAAUUGAACACAAGAAUUUAAGCUUUCUGCCCACGUCUAUGUCCAGGAAAGUCUGUUGUCUGUUGUUCACAACGUCAUUCUAGUCACAUUAUCGCAUAUUGAAAUUAGAUUAACAAGAAUUUAAGCUUUCUGCCCAUAUUAGACAUCUAUGUCCCGGAAGUUGUCUGUUGUUUACAACAUCAUUCUAGUCACAUUAUCGCAUAUUGAGCAAAAACACCAAGCCCAAAAACACCGAUCCCGUAGAGGCUAAAUAAAAUAGGUUUAGCACUGUAUACCAUGUUUUCAAAUAUUUAUGGCUUCCUUGCUUAGGUCACAGUUUGACACUUUUUCAAAUGUAUUCAUAUAAAUCCAUUGAUCUUGAGAAUUGAGUGCAUUAUACCUGCAUGAUUAAUUGCUAAUGCUAAAAUCUAACAAGAAAUCUUCAAUGUAAAUAUCAUCUAAAAUUUAUAUGAGCUUCUUUACACAUUUCAAUUGCACACAAUAAUUUGUUUCUCAGUGCCACAAUUCAAAUCAAUACAGCUAUUAUUAUAAAACUUUUUUUAAAUAAUACAAACUAUUCAUUCAAAUCAAUCACAUCAAUAAAAGUAAUCAGAUUACAAGAGCACAAUCAGUUUGUAAAGAGGAAAGUUACUUUGAGACAUGACUCAGCAUCUAAAAACUGACAUGAAAUUUACUCUUAUCUUUUUUAGAAUGACUCUUUUUAAAGAAUAAAUGGUUGGAUUUGGUCUCUGUGGGUUGAGAAAUGCUUCUGGAAAGACUUUUCUUCAGACCCUCUGAGUCCAGGAAGCCAAGCAGGCUCUGCAAUUCUGUCCCGGCUGGGCCAUGUUGUAUCAUAACUGAGUUGGGGAGUGUGAUGGAUGGUUUGGACUGUGUAGCAGAUAGGCCCAGGAUUGUCCAGGGUUUCUGUGGACUGGGAGGGGGGCAUUUCCUCAUCAAAGGUCCCUGCAGUUUUCCAACCUCCCUUACCAGCCUCGCCUCGGCCUCACCCUUUUCUGUCCACCACAUGUGUAAGAAUUUGUAAGAUUUUCUACUUAGUGUGCCUCCAACAUGCACCAAGCUAACUACGUUAUUACCAGGCAUUAUAGCUAUUACACAUGUUUUCCACUAACCAGCUAGUUAUGUCUCAAUGCAGCUUACACAAGCAAACUGAUGUUUCCACUUGCAGCACAUAACAGGAACUGGCCCAACCACAAGCCUGCGGGGGCCCCAUCUCGUGAUAACAGCAACAGUGUCUGGCAUGCCCGACCCUGUGAAAACAGGAACACGCACACACACAUAUGCCAUAGCUUAUCCAAGGCACUCACACCCAGAUUUAGAGCUUUGAUAGAAACCUAACAUCAUCAGAACAUUGUGCAAGAUCGCAGGAAGACGCAUGAACAGAUGGAGCCAAUCGACGGUGACAACGCCUGGACCUGAGCCAACCAGAGGAUCGGGACUUCAAGACUCAACCUACUUUCUGUGUUGUAUAAAACAUGUAAACAAACUGUUUUAGGGGCUCUCUUGCGCUGGCUCCCUCAGAGCUACUGGAACGAGUCCGUGCACGCUGUACCAAAUAUCUUCACUCUGAAUAAACUAUCACUUGUCAUAUAAUUUAGCGCCUUGUCCGAAUCAGUCCUUGACCGACUCUCCCUUCUACUCAUUCCAUUUACCAACAGAAACUUGGUAGCAGAGGAUGGUUCACUAAAUAAUUGAACCAGACUGGUUGGAGUGGAUGAGAGAGGGCGAAUUGAGGCAAGGACGGUUCGUGGAGGACGGGUGAAAUUCCGGGGGAGGACAACCAUUCUACUCAACUCGGGAAACUGAUCACCAGGCGCCUUAAAACAAAGGUAAGCAAAACCUGUUAAAUCAAACUUUGCAUAUUGUCGAAUAGGUAUAUCUAAAUUCUGAUCAGUGGUACCGAGUAUGGGUAAGAAUUCUUGUUUAAAUUUAGGCAUAAAAUGACAAUGUGAUAGUCAAGUAAGGAUAUCGGGUCAAAUAUUUUGUGUUGACGUUAGAUACGUCCUGGGGUUAGAGACGCCAGUAUUUUGUGUUGACGUUAGAUACGUCCUGGGGUUAGAGACGCCAGUAUUUUGUGUUGACGUUAGAUACGUCCUGGGGUUAGAUACGCCAGUAUUUUGUGUUGACGUUAGAUACGUCCUGGGGUUAGAUACGCCAGUAUUUAGGAUGCACUAUUCCAUAUAGUUCGGCUGUGACCGAUGAGGAAUAGACUCAAUUUGGACAAAAAUUACAUUCCAUAUAGUUCGGCUGUGACCGAUGAGGAAUUAUUCCAUAUAGUUCGGCUGUGACCGAUGAGGAAUAGACCCAAUUCGGACGAAAAUUACUUUCCAUAUAGUUCGGCUGUGACCGAUGAGGAAUAGACAAAAUACAUGUUAAGAAGUGUUUAAACUGAUGUAACUGAUAAAAUGUAUGUGUAAAAAUGUUAAAUUGAUGUAAUAUGUUGAAUAACUGUGGAAAUGUAUGAGAGUGAGGGUAAAUUGCAUGCUCCAUAACGUCUGCCUCUAACAAUUAACACCACAUAAAUUCUGAAUGCACGAGGGAGGAGCUCUGAGCUAAGGCAGAGUAAUUGUCUCCAAGGAUACAUCGCUGAAAUAACUUUCAGUGACGGGCUAAGUGCAGACAGAUAGUCUAACAUAUAUACUGAUAUCACAUCCACACCGAAAUUAAUUAAAUAUGGCGAUCCCUAAUACUCCUAAACUGAAAUGUAAUGAUUUUCUGGAUCAGAAAAUGCAGGACAGGUCAGGGGGAAAAGAGCAGUGGAAGUCGAUAAAGAAGGUUUGGGAGGGGUUGAAGUUGAAGUGGACGCAGGCAGGUUAUCUAGGAGGGGGGCCACCGACUAGGGUCCAGUUGAGCACGAUGGAGAGUGGGUUGAGAGAGGCAGUGCAGGUAGCUAGAGACGGGAGGUAGAGAAGAACAAGAGUCAUUUGUUUAAAAAAGGAAGGGUUAUGCCAGGCCCACCAAGAGAGGGAGGUCAUAUGCCCCCUCUUGAUGUGCACUAGAUAGGUAUGACAGACUAUGUGAGGAAAUUGACGGAAUUGUCUGCAGCUCUCUCCAAACAGAUACACCGUGUCCAAGAGGGGGAGCUGUCGGGAGAGCCGGAACCACCAAGGGUAAAAGUUGGUGACUGGGUAAGGAUCAAGGUCCACAAGAGAAAGUGGCAGGAUCCCAGGUGGACUGGACCGUACGAAGUGAAGGAGGUUACUUCACACUCAGUCCAUGUCAAAGGUAAAUCAGGCGCACCUUGGCACCACCUGACACAUUGCACACCAGCCCCAACCCCCUCCAGAACUUUGACUGAAACCAGGGCCGACUUAAGCGCCCUUAAUUCGACCCCAACCACUGAUCCAGUAGACGAGGGAAAUGGGGCCACAGCCCCCUUUUCCACGUCCUAAGGCGUCUAGCCCAGGGAAGGGGUACCUUACUCCCUGGGAGCGGCUGGGGAUAUCAGCUCCCCUGUUUGUUAUUUUUAUAAUAAUUACUGGAGUAUCCUUAGGAACUCUCACAUGGCUGGUGCAACAACCCACCAACCACAGGAUCCACAAACGCUCCACUGACUACACUGACUAACCAUGCACUCCAACACAGCAAUCACGGUGAAGGACAACAUUUCAUCUCCUGAGGCAGCGCCUAGGAAGGACGGAGCAUGGGGUCCGGUUACUUUGGCUACCUCCCCGCCAACUGUGGAUGAUACCAUCCAGAUAGCUACCGGUAUCUCCGGGUCCUCUAACAACUGGCUCCUGUUGGCUGAGGAAACUGGGAAGGCAACCCGACGAGAUAGCCGAAGGGGAGAGGGAGGACUAUGAUGAUCUGGGAAGUGGGGACGAAUCUGCGUACCAUGGUGUGGGGGACUCAGACGUCUAACUUUAUGUCACGUCUCGGUUGAGACGUGAAGAGAGGGAAUCUAAAACUUUUUCCCUAAGAAAAAGUUCCCUUAUAUUGGCCAUGGGCUUCAUUGUUUCUGUCACGCCUCAGAAAAGUUACCUUAUACUGGGCAUUAAAUGAAUGUUGGCUCUCCUCAAUGUGAAGGUUUUAAGUUCCCGGGUGAUAACGAGCCCACCUGGUACAAUAGUUUAGACUGGGAAGAGCCUGAGGGUUUUUACUUAUAGCUGCUUAUGUCACGUCUCUUUGGAGACGUGAAGAGAGGGAUUUGUAAGAAUUUGUAAGAUUUUCUACUUAGUGUGCCUCCAACAUGCACCAAGCUAACUACGUUAUUACCAGGCAUUAUAGCUAUUACACGUUUUCCACUAACCAGCUAGUUAUGUCUCAAUGCAGCUUACACAAGCAAACUGAUGUUUCCACUUGCAGCACAUAACAGGAACUGGCCCAACCACAAGCCUGCGGGGGCCCCAUCUCGUGAUAACAGCAACAGUGUCUGGCAUGCCCGACCCUGUGAAAACAGGAACACGCACACACACAUAUGCCAUAGCUUUUCCAAGGCACUCACACCCAGAUUUAGAGCUUUGAUAGAAACCUAACAUCAUCAGAACAUUGUGCAAGAUCGCAGGAAGACGCAUGAACAGAUGGAGCCAAUCGACGGUGACAACGCCUGGACCUGAGCCAACCAGAGGAUCGGGACUUCAAGACUCAACCUACUUUCUGUGUUGUAUAAAACAUGUAAACAAAUUGUUUUAGGGGCUCUCUUCCGCUGGCUCCCUCAGAGCUACUGGAACGAGUCCGUGCACGCUGUACCAAAUAUCUUCACUCUGAAUAAACUAUCGCUUGUCAUAUAAUUUAGCGCCUUGUCCGAAUCAGUCCUUGACCGACUCUCCCUUCUACUCAUUCCAUUUACCAACACAUGACGAACUCCCUGGGCUCAGCAAUGUUCAUCGCUGACUUUAAGAUGGCCUGUCUCUCUCAGCCUUCCGCCAAUACUUCCUCUAUCUCGGUUAGUUUAGUCUCAAAGUCCAUGUCCAUAUCCUCUAUCUCCCUCAUGGCCUGCUCCUCUCUCAGUCUCAGCUGCUCUCUGAGCUCCUCAAACUGGGAGCUUAUCUCGGCUUUGAGUCUGACGUUUCUCUCCCGCAUGUUCGCCGUGAUGCCUCGCUCGCUCUACAGGAACCUGACCACCAUGUUGAUAUCCUCUUGGAGGUAGAUUAAGUCAGAGACUAAUUUCUCCAUGAUGUCAUCUUGUGCCUCUUUCACAGGCUUGAACUUGUGUCCUUCGUGGGCUCUCCCGUCUCUGCAGACAACACAGAUGAGCCGUUUGUCUGUAUCACAGAACAAUUGCAAGGUUUCAUUGUGUUUAGAACACAUGUCUUGUCCUGCUGUGGUUCUCUGUCUCCAUUUAGCGUGAUCGGAAGACUGUUCCACCCCUUCAGGUUCAGGUUUAAGUCUAGGUUUAGGUUUAGGCUUGUUGAUUUCAAAGGUUGAGUCUCUGAAUAGGCAAGAUCCGCACAACGGACAUUGCUGAAGGGCCUUCAGGCUUUGUUGGAUGCAGCUCUUACAGAAGGUGUGCUGGCAGUUGAGAGACACAGGCUCAGUGAAGACCUCUGUGCAGAUCGAACAGCGGAGGUGGUCUGUGAGGGGAGAGGAGGCUGUGGCCAUACUGGAAUGACUGCAGACGUGUUAGAAGUGAGAGAAAAGGAAGGUGCCUACCUGAGCUUUCUGUAGAUCCUCCCACAAUGAGAAAGAAAGUGUAGGAGUGUCUUAGCCUGGGUACCAGUCUGUUCAUGCCGUCAUGCCACUCAUUGACACAACUCUUUGCAUGACAAGGGAAAGGGAAAGGAAGGGAAAGGGGGAUACCUAGUCAGUUGUACAACUGAAUGCAAUCAAGGACUUGGAAUGAAGCACACACAGAUCUGGGACCAGGCUAGGAGUAUCUGGUUUGAAAGCAUGAAGAAAAGUCGACUUUGCUCUCAAAAUAUCAUACAGUAAUUGUUAUAUUGCACUAUGGGAAUCAUUAUAUGACCUGGGGUGUGGUGCAUUACGGGCACCAUGCUGUAACUGCCAGAAAUAGGCUGUCAAUCAGAGUCUAUAAUCACUGCAGAAACUCCAUAUAAUGUUUAAUAAAAUGAAUGUCGUAACAUUAUAAAAACAAGUUUCCCCACUCUUGAAGAGAAUGCAAGAAUGCACAGAUCAAUAAAGAGAUAUAAUGUAUCUAUA